GAUGAACGCUGGCGGCGUGCUUAACACAUGCCAGUCGAACGAUGAAGCCCAGCUUGCCGGGUGGAUUAGUGGCGAACGGGUGAGUAACACGUGAGUAACCUGCCCUUAACUCUGGGAUAAGCCUGGGAAACUGGGUCUAAUACCGGAUAGGAGCGUCCACCGCAUGGUGGGUGUUGGAAAGAUUUAUCGGUUUUGGAUGGACUCGCGGCCUAUCAGCUUGUUGGUGAGGUAAUGGCUCACCAAGGCGACGACGGGUAGCCGGCCUGAGAGGGUGACCGGCCACACUGGGACUGAGACACGGCCCAGACUCCUACGGGAGGCAGCAGUGGGGAAUAUUGCACAAUGGGCGCAAGCCUGAUGCAGCGACGCCGCGUGAGGGAUGACGGCCUUCGGGUUGUAAACCUCUUUCAGUAGGGAAGAAGCGAAAGUGACGGUACCUGCAGAAGAAGCACCGGCUAACUACGUG
rnacentral:rRNA from 1 species